UCUUGCUACUAUGUCAGAUACAAACAAACGUCUUCAGGACGAACUGAAUUAUACCUUACAAACCCUUUAUUUUGUCAAAACUGAAAUUUGAGACAGCAUGAAGAAGUGAGACUGCGUCAAGUGUAAGCUGACUUUGCAUGUCAAUGUAGCUUUGCACCAGACCCUCUUGCACUGUCGUGGCCUGUUUCCGUAUGUACCGGCCAUGACAGCACGAGAGGGUUUUAGUACGAGGCUAAUGCCAAUGUGCGGUGUGUAAUAUUGUAUAAAGUAGGUUAUACCAUGGUCACGUGAUGUGCAACCAAUCACGAGCACGUGCUUAGAUGGUUAUAUGAUGUAUUGCACAACAACUGUGCAACAAGGUACUUGCUAAUCGUACUCUCACAUAUGUACAGAUCUUGUGAUCACGGUAUAAAUUAUCUUGUGAUUAGCAUGCUAUAUGGCUUUUAACAGCACUCAGAGUGGGGUUAUAGCUCUUGGCUUUGCCUCGGAUGAUAAACUCCACCCCUCGUCAUGGCGGUCCUGGUUAGGCAUCUUAAAGCCAUAUAGCACGCUAAUCAUACAAUAACCUAUACUGAACUUAAGUGAUGCUUUUCACUUUAAUUUCUAGUGAAGAAUAUCAUCAGCUUCAGUAUGCUCAUGAAACUGCCCUUUCUGAGAAAGGUAUGGCUUUACACAACUAUCAGGAAGCUAUGGAAAGAUUGCAAGCACUUCAGCGUAAAAAGGAGGAAGUAGAUCAAGAGCUAUGGCAAACUUGUCAGAAGCUUGAGCGGACUGAGUUGCAACUUGUUGCAGUUGAGGAAGCAGUGCUGGAAAGGACACUGAAAUGGAAAGAUUAGGCGCUGAAACACAGAUGUUACAAGAUCAAAUGGAUAAUAUGCGUCGCAUCACUAGUUAAUUGCAUUUUAAAUAUAUCUAUUGCUGUAAAGUGAUAAAGGCAAGUGUGUUUCGUUGGACUUUGAAGCUGAAUGCAAAGAAAGAUUGCUGGCUAACAAAAAUAAGGAGAAUAUUGAAAACCAGCUGUCAGAAGUUCACCAAACUUUGCUGCAAUUGCAAGAUGAAAAUUUGAGAUUGAAGGAAGAAAUCAACAGUCAAGGCAAUGAAAGACUGCAAGAGCUUAGACAUUGACGGUGUAGUCUAAUACGCGAAGGGAAGUCUUUUGAGUCUCCUGGACUUUCUAUACGAAGACACCAACAGGACUAUAGCACAAUUGAAACUGUCCAAUGUCCAAAAUGUCAACUUGAGUUUCCGGAUAUGGAUACGUUUGAAAUUCAUUCAAAUGAAUGUUUGGAGUAGCCCUACAAUGAUAGAAAGGAUGAAAUGCACUGUAUGCACGUGCAUGGCUAGUGGGUUUGUCAUGAAAUGUUGACAGGUAUGAACUCCUGUAGUUUUCAGAUUACUUUCUAGUGGCUGACGGUCUACAGAUACUCUUAGUGUAUUUAUAUUUUUUUAUACUAUUUACGGUAGAUAUUUGUCAUUUGGACAUAGGCAUGUGUUCGUAGCUUUUAGAUCCAGAGUGUAGGUUUUUGGUCAAAGUGGGGUGAGGAUGUUACCGCUAAACACCUCCAGCUCAUGCAUGUGCAUGUGUAUUUGUGCAUGCAUGAGUCUUAGAUGUUAUAAAACAUUAAUUAAUUAGAGUGUUUGUAUCCAA